rnacentral:rRNA from 1 species
AUACGUAGGUGGCGAGCGUUGUCCGGAAUGAUUGGGCGUAAAGGGCGCGUAGGCGGCCCGGUAAGUCUGGAGUGAAAGUCCUGUUUUUAAGAUGGGAAUUGCUUUGGAUACUGUCGGGCUUGAGUGCAGGAGAGGUAAGUGGAAUUCCCAGGGUAGCGGUGAAAUGCGUAGAGAUUGGGAGGAACACCAGUGGCGAAGGCGACCUACUGGACUGUAACUGACGCUGAGGCGCGAAAGUGUGGGGAGCAAACAGGAUUAGAUACCCUGGUAGUCCACACUGUAAACGAUGAAUGCUAGGUGUAGGGGGUAUUGACCCCUUCUGUGCCGCAGUCAACACAAUAAGCAUUCCGCCUGGGGAGUACGGCCGCAAGGUUGAAACUCAAAGGAAUUGACGGGG